UACGGAAGGCAGCAGUGGGGAAUAUUGCACAAUGGGCGAAAGCCUGAUGCAGCUAUGCCGCGUGUAUGAAGAAGGCCUUAGGGUUGUAAAGUACUUUCAUCGGGGAGGAAAAAACAAAACUAAUAAUUUUAUUUCUUGACGUUACCCGAAAAAGAAGCACCGGCUAACUCCGUGCCAGCAGCCGCGGUAAUACGGAGGGUGCUAGCGUUAAUCAGAAUUACUGGGCGUAAAGAGCACGUAGGUGGUUUUUUUAAGUCAGAUGUGAAUCCCUGGGCUUAACCUAGGAACUGCAUUUUGAAACUGAAAUACUAGAGUAUCGUAGAGGGAGGUAGAAUUCUAGGUGUAGCGGUGAAAUGCGUAGAUAUCUGGAGGAAUACCUGUGGCGAAAGCGGCCUCCUAAACGAAUACUGACACUGAGGGUGCGAAAGCGUGGGGAGCAAACAGGGAUUAGAUACC
rnacentral:rRNA from 1 species